GAAGACUUUUCGAUCCUACGCGAUGGGUCCGACACUGGAAGCUGCAUUUGCUCCAUUUUCUACAUCCAAAGUGAUCGCUCGACCAGCGUGCGAUUGAACGUUCGAUAAGAGAAAAGGGCGGGUGGUGCUUUCGUAAGCACACCACCGUGCUCUACUCCAUUUUACCACUUGCCAUUUCUCUUUUCUUCUCCUUACAGUCUCUUGUCCCGAACCACCUAGAAAAAGAAAAGGCCUUUUCCAAUUCGUAGCUUUCUAACUGCAUCUAUCUGAAAUGGAAGGGUUUCGGAUUCGACGCAAGUUUCGCCUGCGUUGCUUUAACAUCGAGGUGAAAUUAAAGCUGUGGCUUCUUUUCUUGAAAACGUGCUUGUGGAUUGUGGAAACAGGGUCGAGACCCGAGAGCUAGAUUUGGAAGGGAGCGUAAGUUUAAUAGGCGUAUGAUGCGGUCACUGAAAGCUUUUCAAGUUGCAGCUUCAGAGAUUGAGGAGCUGUAUCGGAGGACUAGGGCAGUGAUCCAGCUGAUGUCUGAAGCCAAUAAACUUGCUGAUGGGUGGAUUUAUGAGUUUCUUAUUAUGAUUGAAAACGACCCUUUGAUGAUGAACGCUUUUGAAAUGAUCAAUGCUCAGAAUCUGGAUGUGACUUCUGAGGAACACAUUGAUCAGAAUCAGGAUGACCUAUAUGAUUUAUUAUCUUUGAUGGGUUGGUAGUUGGUUCUAUCAACAACACCGUCUUCAAAAUUUAAAAUCACCUUUUCUUAAAAGUAUAAUAUGUACUACCUUUGUAAAACACUGUUAGGCUAAGGAGGGCAUUGGUAGAGUCAAUAAUAUGCUAAUGUUUAUGGUAUAAAGCUUCUGUUAGUGUCCUGGUUAUGUGUAUGGUAGUUGUCAUGCCAUGGUGUAUUCCUAUUUCAUCAUUGCCUUAGUGUUUCCCGCUAGUUUUCCAUCUCCUACAUGUUUAUUGUUACUGCUGGUGCACUUUGAUAUUUCAGCAAUGGAGUCUAAUGUAUGGAUGAUUUUAUCUAUUUCUAAGACUCGUGUAUGGAACAUUUUAUAUUUUCUCA